rnacentral:rRNA from 1 species
GAUGAACGCUGGCGGCGUGCUUAACACAUGCAAGUCGAACGAUGAACCCGGAGCUUGCUCCGGUGGAUUAGUGGCGAACGGGUGAGUAACACGUGAGUAACAUGCCCUUGACUCUGGGAUAACUGCGGGAAACUGUAGCUAAUACCGGAUACGACCCUCGGCGGCAUCGCCAGGGGGUGGAAAGAAUUUCGGUCAAGGAUGGACUCGCGGCCUAUCAGCUAGUUGGUGAGGUAACGGCUCACCAAGGCGACGACGGGUAGGCGGCCUGAGAGGGUGACCAGCGACACUGGGACUGAGACACGGCCCAGACUCCAACGGGAGGCAGCGGUCGGGAAUAUUGCACAAUGGUCGCAAGCCUGAUGCAGCAGCGCCGCGUGAGGGAUGACGGCCUUCGGGUUGUAAACCUCUUUUAGUAGAGAAGAAGCGAAAGUGACGGUACCUGCAGAAAAAGCACCGGCUAACUACGUGCCAGCAGCCGCGGUAA